rnacentral:snRNA from 1 species
AUCCUAGUCCAGGGGCGUUACCCAUCUCCGUGAAGCGAUGAGCUGAGAGUGGUUUUUGCUGAUUGAAAGCUAUAUGCUGACCGCUCCUACUUGGGUUCGCCUAGGUAGGGAAUUUUUGGAACACUUUUCCUUUUGGAA